ensembl:lncRNA
UGUGAUUGUUACGCAACAGUACAUUUAACCCUCAAACCAAGGCACGCAGCCUGUUUUUAUUUAUAGGCUGUUUUCAACUUGUCAAAUUAUUUUCUAACAAGUUUUUUUAUUUUCUAAGAACAGUUUUAAUUGAGGUGUGUUCCGCCUCAUAUAUUCACAUAAAAGUCAUCAUUUUUACUUAGGUAAUGAGGUAACGUUACUAAUUUCAUAACCUUUAUGGUGUUAUACUCAAUGCUUAGGUAGGUAGCUACAUUAUUCUAUUAGCUCUGGAAAACAAUGCUAAUUGCGUCAGAGAGGUAUUAGCGUGUGUUGUAUUUUGAAGAUUUCCUGGCCUUAUGACUCCCAAGUGGCGCAAUUGUUUAAGGCAAUGUCUCAGUGCUAGAGGCGUCACUACAGACACCUAGGUUCAAAUCUAGACUGCGUUUCUAUCAAAGUGGUCCACCUUCCCUGUGGCCGGCGUGGUAGCUGUGUGGAGAGUACAUGGAUGUCUCGUUUGUCAUGCCACUUUACUGCCAGCUCCAAGGCAUAGCGUUUGGUCUCUGCUAUGUCUCCCACCAGCUCCUCUGUCAGAAACAACUUGAAGCACUCUGCCUCAGAUGAAAAUGGCAAGGGGCGUUGCCCUCCAGACUGGGACUCAUCAAAGCAAACAGCAGGGUCAGGAAGGGUGAAAUGGCUGUCAGCCUUCCAGCUACCACAGGAUUCCUGUAUUUCAUCCAUUGUUGGCCUGCCUCCAUCACCACCAGCAUCUUCAAAGGGAACUGGGACUUUGUCAGUGGACAAAGGGUCCUCAGGUUCCUGGUCCUCAAUGGCUGGGGGGCAGCUCCUCACUGUCACUGUCAAAAUCUGAUUCCUGACUUUUAGACUCAUUGUCAGAAUUGUAAAAAAUCUCCAGAAUUUCCACAUUUGUAAGUUGUCUCCUUUUGAAAGACAUUGCUAAUGCUACAGCUUAGCUCACUAGCUACAUACAGUACAUAAACAACAACACUGAAUGGGCUCAGAGUGGGAGUGAGAGGUUAUGUGAUUGACUGCCUGCACGUGCCAUUUGUAUCAAAUCACUAUCAUAAAAUGUUUUGUUUGGUAAUUAUUGAUAUAUUUACUGUUUUAUUCACAUGUUUUUCAAGUACCUGUGAUAAAUCAUGCAUUCCAAUUAUUGCAUAGAUUGUAAUGGGCAUAUUAUUAUGUGUGUAAAAUACUUUUUUGAAGGUUGUACUGAUUAUGAUGAGCUAAGCUAAAUCCAGCUAGGUGUGGAGCCAUGUUUGUUGACAUACAAUGCAUUCUGGGUUUUACGUAAUCGUCUGUCAGACCAAAGAUGCUAUAACAAAAUGAGGUGAGUAAGGGUUCACUAAUUUUUUGAGAACUUCAGGAAGUGAAUGGUGGGAUGUGAACAAUGGCAGACGACACACCCCUUCAACUUGUAUACUAUAAAGAGACCAAACUCAUCUCGUCUUACCUUUGAUUUCUGUGAGGGGAAAAAAGCAUGGCGGUAGCUGAAACUAACUGUCGGAUUAGUUUCGAUUUCUAGAAAGUGUUUUACUAUAAUUCAUUUGUUCAAUGGUGAGUUCACCCGUGAUGUGAGUAAUUAUAAAGAGUAAUUGCUAUUAUCUAAUUCAUAUUGUAAUUUGUCAGCCGAGAGUUAUACAAUAUAACCGCUUGUGUUGCAUCAAUCCUUCCUCAGUUAGCGCUAGGACAAAUGUAGCCUACAUUUUUCCAGUUUGGAUGAUUGCGUUAAGCUAUAGAUACUUCUGUGAAUAUCUGAACAUUGCAUCCAAAAAUAAACUGCUCACAUUCUGGACAUAACUUUUAUAAGGACUGUGUUUGUGCAAAAUGUUUCCGAAAAAACAGUGUGGAAGACUGCACUCUGGUCAGAUGAGACUAAAAUUGAGCUUUUUGGCCAUCAAGGAAAACUCUAGCGCAAACCCAACACCUCUCAUCACCCCGAGAACACCAUCUCCACAGUGAAGCAUGGUGGUGGCAGCAUCAUACUGUGGGGAUGUUUUUCAUCGUCAGGGACUGGGAAACUGGUCAGAAUUGAAGGAAUGAUGGAUGGCGCUAAAUACAGGGAAAUUCUUGAGAGAAACCUGUUUCAGUCUUCCAGAGAUUUGAAACUGGGAUGUAGGUUCACCUUCCAGGAGGAUAAUGACCCUAAGCAUACUGCUAAAGCAACACUUGAGUGGUUGAAGAGUAAACAUUGAAAUGUCUUGGAAUGGCUUAGUCAAAGCCCAGACCUCAAUCCAAUUGAGAAUCUGUGGAAUGACUUAAACAUUGCUGUAUACCAGCGGAACACAUCCAACUGGAAGGAGCUGGAUCAGUUUUACCUUGAAUAAUGGGCAUAAAUCCCAGUGACUAGACGUGCCAAGCUCAUAGAGAUAUACCCCAAGAGACUUGCAACUGUAACUUCUGCAAAAGGUGGCUCUUCAAAGUAUUGACUUUGGGGGGGUGAAUAGUUAUACACGCUCAAGUUUUCUGUUUCUGUUUCUUUUUUUCAUUUCACUUCACCAAUUUGGACAAUUUUGUGUAUGUCCAUUACAUGAAAUCUAAAUAAAAAUCCAUUUAAAUUACAGGUUGUAAUGCAACGAAAUAGGAAAAACGCCAAG